rnacentral:tRNA from 1 species
GGGCCGUUAGCUCAGUUGGUAGAGCAGCUGACUCUUAAUCAGCGGGUCGUGGGUUCGAUCCCCUCACGGCCUA